rnacentral:rRNA from 1 species
UGAACGCUGGCGGCAGGCCUAACACAUGCAAGUCGAGCGGAUGACAGGAGCUUGCUCCUGGAUUCAGCGGCGGACGGGUGAGUAAUGCCUAGGAAUCUGCCUGGUAGUGGGGGACAACGUUUCGAAAGGAACGCUAAUACCGCAUACGUCCUACGGGAGAAAGCAGGGGACCUUCGGGCCUUGCGCUAUCAGAUGAGCCUAGGUCGGAUUAGCUAGUUGGUGAGGUAAUGGCUCACCAAGGCGACGAUCCGUAACUGGUCUGAGAGGAUGAUCAGUCACACUGGAACUGAGACACGGUCCAGACUCCUACGGGAGGCAGCAGUGGGGAAUAUUGGACAAUGGGCGAAAGCCUGAUCCAGCCAUGCCGCGUGUGUGAAGAAGGUCUUCGGAUUGUAAAGCACUUUAAGUUGGGAGGAAGGGUUGUAGAUUAAUACUCUGCAAUUUUGACGUUACCGACAGAAUAAGCACCGGCUAACU